ACCAAGCUGACUGUCAUGUAUCAAUAAAACAAAUUCAGUUUAUGUAUACUUUUUACGCGAUGUUUCAACAAUAAAUCAGAAGCAAAUAUGUCGUUGGAAUGCGUAAAAAUUGCCAAAAUUGGCAAAAGCAUUCGAUCACACAACACUUCGAGACAAGUGAAGGUGUAUCAAAAUGAGUUUUUCUACGAAAAUGAAAAUUUCAAACUCGAAAUUGACAUUGAUAUACUACAAGUGUUCAAAGAUGUGGCAAGUGUGCCAGCAUUCAAAUUAGAAUUGUUCAACGAUGGACCGGAAACCAAUUCAUUGUGGCUGUUAUUUCAGCCACAAUUAAUGAAAAGACGCAACAGAAUUGGCCGCUAUUUGAUGGCAACAAAGCGUUUGGUUGAGCAAUUUUUCAUCAUCGAACAAGAGAAUUUAUUUGGUGACGACGAUGCGACCAUUAUCCAUGAUGAGCCCAAUGAACCCGAGUCCAAUGAAAAUGAAAGUACAAGUGAUGAAAUGCAAGUCGAUGAUGAUGGCAACGACAAUGAAAGUGUCAAUAGUGAAGAUUCAGACGAAUUGCCGGUUAAAAUAAUCGAUGAUUUCUAUCAGCAAUUGCGUGAGGCACAUCGUGAUAUUAGCCCAUUGCAAAAUUAUUCCGAUGAAUAUGUUCAGCACAAAGAUUUCCGAACACGAUUGACACCGCAUCAAAUCGAUGGCGUCAAAUGGAUGCUUAAUCGUGAACUAGUUAUUGACCAUUUUCCAACUGAAUUCAAAAAAGUUAAUCGCCGUUGGCCACCGUCUUCCUCACCAAACGAAACUGUAACAUUCUAUUACAGCGAACGCACAAUGAUAUUGCAAGUGAACAAGAAUGAAGAUGUUCCCAUUCCAACGGGUGGCAUUUUGGCCGAUGCAAUGGGCUUGGGCAAAACGGUUGAAAUGCUCUGCUUGAUUCUAUUGAAUCCACGGAAAAUACAUGAAAGCGAACAGUACACAUUUUUUGAAGAUUUAACACAAUGUGAUAAUGAUGAUUAUUUUGGUGAGCUACGAUGUUUGUGUGCAAAAACAGCAGUGAAAGAUACAGUAACAUGUACACGUUGUUUCAUGUUACAGCAUCGUAUAUGCGUUACACAACGUGACACACCAACAUCGCCCGAUGCUCAUUACAUUUGUCCGACUUGUUGGCAAAAAGAAGAACCAUUGAAAGCAAAAACAACAUUUAUCGUAUCACCUCCGUCGAUUAAAUUGCAAUGGAGAGACGAGGUCGUUAAACACAUCAGUGACGGAAAUUUCAAGGUUUAUGUAUACGAAGGCAUGAAAAAUUCGAAUUGGAUAAAUCCAAUGGAGUUGGCAUCGUAUGAUAUUAUACUAGCUGAUUAUACAACAUUGCAAUCUGAAUUUUACUACUCAAAUCACAAUCCCACAUCGCGAACAUUGCGUCGACCCUCCCGUUAUUUAACUGUUCGAAGUCCAUUGUUGUAUGUAAAUUGGUGGCGUGUUUGUUUAGAUGAGGCUCAAAUGGUUAGUUCGACGAUAACAAAACCGGCACGUAUGGUUGCUCAAUUAUCGGCCAUUCACCGUUGGGGCAUUUCUGGAACACCAAUUCAAAAGCAUAUUGAUGAUUUAUAUGGAUUGGUUUCAUUUCUAUCUUGUUCACCAUACGAUGAACGAGAAAAAUGGAAUGAAUUAUUGAAUGAAUUCCAUGUAAAUGGCGAUGUAAAGCUACUUGUUUCGGUGUUGCGAAAGAUCAUGUGGCGAACGUGUAAAACAAAAGAGAUUAUGGAUCAAAUAAAUAUUCCAGAACAAACGGAAAUCGUACAUCAUGUGCAUAUGACUGAUUUGGAAAACUUUUACUACAACAAAGAGCAUCAACGAUGCUCGAGAGAUUUUUUCACAAAUUCAGUGAAAAUCGGUUCAUAUCAAAAACUUUCAACAUUAAAUCCGCACAUGUUAAAAUUACUGCUGGAACCAUUACGGAAAUUACGUCAAGAUUGUUCAAUUCCAAGUGUAUAUGAUCGUAUGACCACAACAAAACGAAAUCUCAAACCCGACGAAUUGAUGAAGCAUUUGAUAAAGAAAAAUGAUAAUGAAACCAAAUCCGAACUACGGACAAUUGCUUGGUGCCUAAAUGGAAUGGCCGGUUUGAAUUUAAUCAACGAAAAGAAUGACGAAGCGAUGCAAUUAUAUCGAAAGGUUUUGCGAUUGUCAAACGAUUACAAUUCAAAAGAAUUCAGUGUCGAUACCUUACUACAAAUCCAUGCCAUUCACAAUCUCUUGCAAAUCGAUACAGCGAUCGGUGGUGAAGAGCGUAUCGCGUUACAAUUGGAUUUAAGUAAAUUAGAAGCAAAGUAUUUGGAGAAUUAUGUGAGUUUGGUGAAGAAUUGCCAUUUGGAGCAAAUGAAAUGGAUCGAAAAAAUUGAUACGAUACAGUCGAAAUUUAUGGGUAAUGAGUAUGAGUGGUGGUUGAAUGCACUGAAAAAUGAACCACACGAUUCGAAUCAAUUGUUAUCACGCAUCCAUGAUGAUAUCAAAACGGCAUAUGGAUCGAUGAAGGGACAAGGACCGAGUUGUUUAGAUGAAAUUUUACCGAGAUUUCAUAGCAUCGAUGGAUUAUGUUUUGUAUUGACCAUGUGGAUGGAUACAGUGCUAGAGGAGCGUGAAAAUGUUCAACAAAUUUUCCAGCAAAUGCAAUUUUACAUUGACAAUUUCAAGCCAGUUGCCGAAAUUGAUGCAAAGCAUCGUGAUAGAGUGCAAACAUUUUUGAAUGAAGCAUAUGAGUGCCAUUUGAAGGAUAAGGAUAAAAAAGACGAGGAGAAAAAAGAACCGUCCACAAAAAAGCGAAAAACAAAUCAACAAUGCGAAAUGUGCGAAGCCAAAGAGCAGCUACGAAAAUAUGAAAGUGCUAUUGUUGACCAUCUUUCCAAUGCCAAAGUGAAAGAGCUUGAAAUUGGCAAGACACGCGAAGUAUACUCGUACAAAAUGCCAUACCAAGAACGAGUUUUACACAUUAUUUUUAACCACAUAAAACAAAGUGAUGUUGAGUUUAAAGAGGAUGCCAAAACUUUAUUUCAACUCAUGGAGGCAUUUCGGAAUGAAUGCAAGGAAUACAGUCGCUUAUGGGUUGAAGUCAACUUUACUGUAUCAGCGUAUGACGAAUUGAAAAUGUGUAAGACACGUACUCAAGCUGUCGAUCCGGUCGAAUUGCAAGACGAAUCUGUAAUGGAAUCAAAUUUGAUUAUUUCCAAAUACGAGGUGGAGGAAAGUAUGUUAGAUUUAAGGAACCAACUGAAAGAAGCCGAAUUGAAUUUUGUUCGAAAAUUGGGCCAAUCAAAGUAUUUGAGCCACUUGAAAAGUAACCAAACUGUCGACGAUUGUCCCAUUUGCAAUACGAAACCUGAACACAAGUACGUUGUACUCGAGUGCGGGCACCACGUGUGCAUGCGAUGCUUUAUCACAUGGAAACAAUCGCUACGAUAUAAUGCGAAAUUCAACUGUCACAUCUGUCGACAUCUUCAACACAAAGAGAAUGUAUUCUACGUUACACUAAAUACUGGAAAUCGGUUCACCGAUUCAACAUCAAAAAUCGAAGCAAUUGUUGAGCAAAUCAUAAAGCUAAAAGACGAAGACAAAACGGUUAAAAUCGUCAUAUUCUCACAGUGGUCGAAUAUUUUAAAGGUUUUGGAAGAUGCGCUGAUAAAAACAAAUAUUUCAUUCCGAAGUCGCCUCGAGAAAUUCUAUAAAACCAUCGAAGAAUUCAAAGAUCCCAAUUUGAAUGUCACCUGUUUAUUGCUGCCAUUAAGUUAUGGUUCGAAAGGUUUGAAUCUAAUCGAAGCAACGCACGUUUUUCUCGUUGAACCCAUUUUGGAUACCGGCGAAGAAUUACAAGCAAUUGGACGAAUUCAUCGUAUGGGCCAAACAAAGACCACGUUGAAAUCCCGCACAAAACCCAGGGCUUACGGCCGAGAGCUCCGCGCUUGAUCCAGAUGAGAACGCAAUGUUCGUUGUGUUGUUUGUUGAUUCUGAAAAUGACAAUGAUUAUAUCAAUUUCUAAAUAUGAACGUAAAUUAAAAGUAUGUGUAGCUUCAAUUGAUUAGAUAAAUUCAAAGCAGAAUUAUUGAAAUGAUUACAUACUUGAUUGGAUGCUGCUCGUCUUGAUUGUCGAGCUCGUGCUGGUGGUGCUGGCGGUGGAUCUCCUCCUCCUGCAUUUUCUUCUUCUUCUUCAACAUGCCGUUGAAAUGCUGGAUGUAGCUCUAUAUUCAUAACAGCACACCAUCCUGUUUGUUUAGAAUGUUACGACCUGCAUUUGCAUCACGAUUCCAGGUGAUAGUACGCCCAAUUCGAGUUUUCUCUUCAUAUUUACGAAAUUUUGAUGCCAUACGUGGACCAUCAGUACGGGGACGAUGUUUUCGUUGCUGCGUCAAUUUGCGAUUGCUUUUUCGUGAUUCAAUCGGACCUUGGGCUUUUCCAAGCACAUUUUCUCCACACAAUGGUUCGCAUCCAUGGCAUGUGAGAUAGCGAUAUUUCUCCUUUACUUUGCCUCUUUUUGUCGGUUUUUCAAGUUCACGGAAGCACAACGAACAUAAUUUGGUCGUCCGAAAUUCGUCCACCUCGACCACUGUACAUUUACGGCGACGUUUCAACUUCUCGAACAAAUCUCGCACCUUCGAUCGAAUAUAUCCUCGGGCUGGUGAAUCUGCCGCAAUGAAACGAUCACCGACAAAUAUGAACGUUUGCUUACCAUCGAUGAGCUUGGUUGCAUAUGCAUCAAGUGCUCUAUUCGUGUCAAUGUACUGGAGAAAUGCUUGCAAAGCGUAUUCAUACUGUGUGUAUGCUGUGAACUUUUCUUCAAAAUGACGCAAAAUAUGAUCAGCAUAUGAUUUAUGGUCUUCGGCUCGUGGACCAGGCUGCUCAUCAAAUGACUCACGAUGUAGACGCAUCUUUUCAUCGAUUUCAGUUGUCAACUUUUUGCGCCAUUUGUUCCGUCGCGAUGAAUUUAUCAUAUCUUGGUAUUGGCCCGAUGUCAAUCGAAUGAUUGUUUCAGUGCGAUUAUUUCGAUCGUUGAAAUUGUUAAUGCGCACACCACCAAUGACCAAACGUAGUCCAGGAUCGAGACCAUACACUUGUUGGCUUUUCAGAAGCAUCUCUUGUGUCUCUUUCAUACGCUCUUCAUCGUCUUUUUCAAUGAUGAAUUUUGUUCGUUCCAUCAAAAAUGACAUACCGACACCAUCUGUUUGAAUGGAGUUGUCGAAUUUUAUUGUUGCAUGGCCAUCAUUUUUGUUUCUCGGUUCUCUUUCGAUGCUAUCGAUGUCGAAAUACAGACGCCAUAAUACAUCCCAUUCUUUAUUUUUGAUGUCUUUCUCCUGUUUUGGACCGCCGUUUUUAUUGCGAAAU